CGACUUUACAAAGCUUGGAAUCUGGAAACAACAUUCACAUUCCUGUGAUGAAAGUGGGUCAUUGGUGUGAUAGAGAGGCUACAUUAGAGGGACCUUCCCAAAGAGCACUUAGAGAAGCCAAGGAACAGAAAGUGCAUUCUGCCGUUAAUCCACAUGAUUCAGCCAAAGAUCCAGCAAAACAGAUGAGCAAGAAAUAUCCAAAGGAUUCAGAAUUUCCUGAAGGUAUCCAAGUAAAUCCAUACCUUGCUUGUGCAAAAAAAUGUGUGCGGCCAUUGAAGUCUGG
rnacentral:lncRNA from 1 species